rnacentral:rRNA from 1 species
AGUGAACGCUGGCGGUAGGCCUAACACAUGCAAGUCGAACGGCAGCACAGUAAGAGCUUGCUCUUACGGGUGGCGAGUGGCGGACGGGUGAGGAAUACAUCGGAAUCUACUUUUUCGUGGGGGAUAACGUAGGGAAACUUACGCUAAUACCGCAUACGACCUACGGGUGAAAGCAGGGGAUCUUCGGACCUUGCGCGAUUGAAUGAGCCGAUGUCGGAUUAGCUAGUUGGCGGGGUAAAGGCCCACCAAGGCGGCGAUCGGUAGCUGGUCUGAGAGGAUGAUCAGCCACACUGGAACUGAGACACGGUCCAGACUCCUACGGGAGGCAGCAGUGGGGAAUAUUGGACAAUGGGCGCAAGCCUGAUCCAGCCAUACCGCGUGGGUGAAGAAGGCCUUCGGGUUGUAAAGCCCUUUUGUUGGGAAAGAAAAGCAGCAGGUUAAUACCCCGCUGUUCUGACGGUACCCAAAGAAUAAGCACCGGCUAACUUCGUG